AUACUUUAAGACUUCUUAAUUUUUACUUUGAUUGGUAAAAGAAGAGAAAAGGCCCUUCUACGAAAUUAAUCAAAACCUUUAACCUUGUACACAGCACAUCAGACAUGUCAUUAAAGAUAAUUACUCGUAAAUUAACAAACAUCAUUUCAUUACACAGAACUAAAAAUAUUAGUACAUAGAUUACACACACACACCAUUUCCGAAUUAAUUAAUACUACUAAAACACGCAAACUGCAAAUUAAACACGACAGUUGAAAUCUGUCCCUAUUACUAUGGCGACGGAUUUCAACGUACACUACUGUAGUAUUAAUAUCAGACCUCAGCCAUCGCCAUGAAGUUUGCGAAAAUAGCCAGCAGGGUCAUCCUCAAAUUUUUUUCUAGAAAUAUAUGUACCCUGUCUUCCUGGUGCUCUCAUCAUAUCCUCCUCCUCCUUCUUUGCCGGGCUGGCAAGAUUCCAUAAGCCACGCGCCACCAUCGCCACCCCUGCCACCACUCCGACCGCUGUUGCCACCGCACCUAUUAUAGAUGUUCCUCGAUCUUCCUCCGUCUUCGAGUUGGUGGAAUUAUUUGGUCGCCCAGAACCUCCAGAGUUUCCAUGGGAGCUCAUUUUUUUUUUUUUUUAGGUAUCUCUUUCUCUUACGUUCUCUACACAGGAGAAGAGGGGUUGAUAUAUUUAUAGGCAAGGAAAUUGGUUUACAUUUUAAGUUAAUAUCGAAGACACCCCUAAAGUAUUUUACUAUUAUUAG
rnacentral:lncRNA from 1 species